rnacentral:rRNA from 1 species
GAUGAACGCUAGCGGGAGGCCUAACACAUGCGAGCCGAGCGGUAGAGUCUCUUCGGAGACUUGAGAGCGGCGCACGGGUGCGGAACACGUGUGCAACCUGCCUUUAUCUGGGGGAUAGCCUUUCGAAGGGAAGAUUAAUACCCCAUAAUAUACUGGAUGGCAUCAUCUGGUAUUGAAAACUCCGGUGGAUAGAGAUGGGCACGCGCAAGAUUAGAUAGUUGGUGAGGUAACGGCUCACCAAGUCAGCGAUCUUUAGGGGGCCUGAGGGGGUGAUCCCCCGCACUGGUACCGCGGCCUGGACCCGGAUGCUACGGGGGGGAGCAGUGGGGAAUAUUGGGCAAUGGGGGGGGGCCUGGUCCAGCCCUCCCGCGUGAAAGGCGACGGCCCUAUGGGUUUUAAACUUCUUUUGUAUAGGGAUAAACCUAGAUACGUGUAUCUAGCUGAAGGUACUAUACGAAUAAGCACCGGCUAACUCCGUG